rnacentral:lncRNA from 1 species
UUUCAUAAGAACCCUUUACGUGAUAACUCUAUAGCCAACUUUCCUCAAAAAUGGUUUUGGCAGUGGCCGCUACUAGGGAUGUCAAAUGAGUGGAUUGUACAUGGACGGCCCGUGUCCAAAUUAUUAUGGUUUAAUAUGGACACAUCCAUAUUAGACCAAAUUUAAUUGGGUUUAAAUGGACGAGCUCAAUUAGACUCAUGGGUAAAACCGGGCUACGACUAUCUGGACAUUAGACAGCUCAAUUUCCCAAAUAGCUAAAAUAUCUAGAUUUAGGAAAUUAGGAAAAAAAUAACAAUUUUAUUUUAUGUUACCAAAAUCA